rfam:Schistosoma margrebowiei strain Zambia genome assembly, scaffold: SMRZ_scaffold0000156
AUCCAGCUGACGAGUCCAAAAUAGGACGAAACGUACAUCUUGGAU